UACUUUUUUUUUUUUUUUUUUUUUUUUUUUUUUUUUUUUUUUUUUUUUUUUUUUGCUGUUUGUUCUUCUGAAGAAACGGUCACGAGA
rnacentral:ribozyme from 1 species